GGGACAGUAGCUCAGUGGUAGAGCUCCCGCUUCGUACGCGGGAACACCAGGGUUGGCUUCUCUGCUGCUUUC
rfam:Toxocara canis scaffold1103, whole genome shotgun sequence.